rnacentral:rRNA from 1 species
AUUGAACGCUGGCGGCAUGCUUUACACAUGCAAGUCGAACGGUAACAGGCCGCAAGGUGCUGACGAGUGGCGCACGGGUGAGUAAUGCAUCGGAACGUGCCCAGUCGUGGGGGGUAACUACUCGAAAGAGUAGCUAAUACCGCAUACGAUCUAUGGAUGAAAGCGGGGGACCGUAAGGCCUCGCGCGAUUGGAGCGGCCGAUGUCAGAUUAGGUAGUUGGUGGGGUAAAGGCUCACCAAGCCAACGAUCUGUAGCUGGUCUGAGAGGACAACCAGCCACACUGGGACUGAGACACGGCCCAGACUCCUACGGGAGGCAGCAGUGGGGAAUUUUGGACAAUGGGCGCAAGCCUGAUCCAGCAAUGCCGCGUGCAGGAAGAAGGCCUUCGGGUUGUAAACUGCUUUUGUACGGAACGAAACGGCUCUGGUUAAUACCCGGGGCUAAUGACGGUACCGUAAGGAUAAGCACCGGCUAACUACGUG